UACGUAGGGGGCGAGCGUUGUCCGGAGUUACUGGGCGUAAAGCGCUUGUAGGCGGUCCACCAAGUUUGGGGUGACAGUUGCCGACUUAAUCGGCAAAGUGCCUCAAAGACUGGCGGACUUGAGGGCCACAGAGGGACAUGGAACUCCAGGUGUAGUGGUGAAAUGCGUAGAUAUCUGGAUGAACACCAAAGGCGAAGGCAGUGUCCUGGGUGGUCGCUGACGCUGAGAGGCGAAAGCCAGGGGAGCGAACGGG
rnacentral:rRNA from 1 species